CAGUAGCCACGGUAAUACGUAGGUGGCAAGCGUUGUCCGGAAUUAUUGGGCGUAAAGGGCUCGCAGGCGGUUUCUUAAGUCUGAUGUGAAAGCCCCCGGCUCAACCGGGGAGGGUCAUUGGAAACUGGGAAACUUGAGUGCAGAAGAGGAGAGUGGAAUUCCACGUGUAGCGGUGAAAUGCGUAGAGAUGUGGAGAAACACCAGUGGCGAAGGCGACUCUCUGGUCUGUAACUGACGCUGAGGAGCGAAAGCGUGGGGAGCGAACAGGAUUAGAUACCCGGGUAGUCCCUGUCUCUUAUAA
rnacentral:rRNA from 1 species